UUUAUUUUGAACAUGUCUGCAUAUGCAGGAAGUGACAGGAAGUUGAAGCUUUUUCACCGGAAGUAAAGGGGUGUGUCUACGUGUAUAUGUGUUUUUUUUCCCUCUCUCCCUGCAUCUCUUGUAGGAACCACGAAGGCAGAAGGACGAAAAGAUAAUGGAGUUCCACAGCAGUGAGGAGGUCAACACUCAGUGGAAACCUCCCCUAGACUACACCACCAACACCACCACCAUAUCCAAAUCUGUCACUCAACGGGUAUCAGAGAGCAGCUCACACACAGAGGCGAGCGACACAGACGGGUUUCUGCCCUGUCAAUCAAAGUCUUUAGUGGAUAACGAGGAGUUCUCCAGCACAGAAACGAAUAACGAGCAGGAUUCGAGGAACGCUUACGGUCCCUUUUCCAGAUUACACAACAUUUAUUCCUCGGAAGACAGCGAUGAAGACGUGUGUGCCUCCAGACUGAGGAAGACUAAGAGUAUUUUGGAUGAGUUAUUUACUGACGAGUCCAACGACUCUGCGUCAGACAGUGGAGAGGAUCUUCCUUCGAAACCCGGAGAUGAAAGCGACGGGAGCAGCUCGGACAUCAGCGAGUGCCCUCGACCGAGCGCGAGUACUCAUCGGGGGUCAAAGGUUGACGGUGUGGCUGUAAACAAGACGGAGAAAACCGAGGAUGGGAGGAGAGUGUAUAAUAAAAAGCACUACUGCCUGUUUUGCUCGAAACCUUUCAGCAAAAUCGCGAGACAUUUGGAAGACAUUCACUCAAAGGAAGAGGAAGUCUCGAAAGCGUGCAGUUUCCCAAAAGGUUCCAAACAGAGGAGGAUUUAUUUGGACGAGCUCCGUCUCAGAGGGAAUUACAUCCACAAUAUAGCCGUGCUGAAAUCAGGGAAAGGCGACUUGAUCCCGUAUAAACGGCCGCGAGGGGAAAUGAAAGCGAGUGACUUCAUGCACUGCCCGCACUGUCAGGGCUUGUUCACCAAAAAAGUCCUGUGGAGGCACAUGAAGGUGUGUAAACUGAGUCCUAAAGAUUACGUCCCCAAACCUGGGAAGAACCGCGCGCUCUCUCUGUGCGCCGCCACACAGCCGGUACCUCGCAACAUCAGUCCAGAGCUGUGGAAGAUUUUAAGCGUCAUGGUCUCAGAUGAAAUCACAGAAGCUGUAAAAAACGACAGCUGCAUCAUCCAAAUGGCGGAACACUGGCUCCGGAAGAGCGGAGAAUCUCCGAACAGUCAGUGCUUCAUCCGGCAGAAGUUACGAGAAUUAGGAAAACUGCUGCUCAGCGGCCGGAAAGUGACCUCUCUCAGGAAACUGGAGGAUUUUAUAGACCCGUACAACUGCAUGCAGGCGGUGGAAGCCGUGCGGCAUGCGUGCGAAUACAACAGCGAGAAAAACACCUACAAAAUUCCGUCCCUCGCUAAAAAACUGGCCAUUUGCCUGGCGCAGCUUAGUCGCCUCAUACGGACUAAAGUGGUGAUGCCGAAAAACGUGAAGCUGGCACGAAAACUGCAGAACUUCCAAAAAAUCCACGAGGAACGCUGGAACGACUUGUUGUGCGCCACGGUGUUGAGGAACUCCGAAGACGAGGAGGUGAAAUUUAAACCUCCGACGCUGCUGGCUUUCACAGAAGAUGUUCAGAAGCUCCAUGCGUUCCUGGACAAAGCACAGGACGAGUUCACGGCACAGUUGAUCCGCAGAGUCGUCCACUAAACACUGGUCGGAUUUGGCGAAAGUUGCUCUGACGCAGAUCAUUCUGUUCAACCGGAGCCGGGAAGCUGAAGUGGUGAGCAUGACACUGGAGACAUUUUUAUCCCGAGACAACACCGAUCCUGCCACAGACAUCGACUGGGCUCUGACCGAGGUCGAGAAACAACUCUGCCGCCAUUUUUACAAAAUCAUCAUUCGGCGAGACGGAGCGCGUCCCAUUCCCAUCUUACUGACUCUGAAAAUGCUACGCGCCCUGCAGCUGCUGGUGGAAAAGAGAGAAUCCUGUGGCGUGAUGAAGGACAACACUUACGUCUUCGCCCGGCCCUCUGCCUCGUCUCAUUUCCGGUGCUCGGACUGCGUUCGAGGCUUCGCGUUGAUUUGUGGAGCGAAGGAUCCUCAAGCGCUGACUUGUUGGAAAUUGCGGAAGCGAAUGGCAACGCUGUCCACGGUGCUGAAUCUCGGAGAUCCGGAAAUAAACCAGUUAGCAAGCUUUCUCGGACACGAGCUAAUCAUCCAGGAUGAGUUUUACCCCCUGCAUGAAAGGACACUACAGCUGGCAAAAGUGCACAAGGUGCUAACGGCAAUGGAGCAGGGACGAAUGAUGGAGUUCAUGGGCAAGAACUUCUCAGAUAUCGAUGUUCAACCGGAAGAGAAGGUUGAUCUGAGCAGCGACAAAGUAAAGAAUAGCUGGGAAUGUUCAGGCGUGUUUCCAGGCACUUGUCCAGGAAAAAAAGCAGCUCAGAAAAAGAGGAAACCGUGGAGCGGGCCUGAAAUCCAGGCCGUGGAAAAGCACAUGAAGGAUUACAUCACUUCCUGUCGAGUCCCAGGUAAAGCAGCGUGCGAAAACUGCUUAAGCGCCGAGCCUUUAAUGCUUAAAAAGAGAGACUGGCAGAGUGUCAAGUUCUACAUCUACAACCGCAUCAUGGCACAGAAGAGAGACGCCAGCCACAAAGUCUGAAAAGAUUUGUUUGAUUAUUUUUAAAUGUAAAAAAAAAAAACCCAUUAUGCUAAUGCGUUUAAUCUGCAGCAUUAAAACAUGUGCAAACUUCUUAAAUCUGUAUGUUACAUUAUCACAGGAGUCAUUACUUAGAGGACCAGGAAAGUGUUUUAGCAGAUCGAACUGAAAAAAUACAGAAAUAAAUCUAUAAAACAAACCUGACCACAGAUCACCAACUGUAGUUACAAGGCUAAUCUUUAUAAUUAACAUCACAGCUUCACACUAGGGGUUGACGAGUCACAUGUGUUGCUUGAUGUUUGUCUCUUGUGGGCCUGGACUGUCCAGCGUUUUUAGUUCUGCUGAGAAAUGUUAGUAGCUGUAUAUCACUUCUGAAGCUAGCUAAUUAAACACAAAUUAGCUAGCUCACUAAUCAGUUGUGUGAUUUAUUUGUUACGUGCUCAGCUUCAUUCUCAGAUUAGAUUAGCAAAGCUAACUACCUGCACUAGCUACGCACACUCACUUCCUUCCAAGCUUCAUUUUUCUUCCUAACGUUUGGAUUUGUUGCAUCUUUACAUCAUCAGAAAAUGAAGAAAACCUCACUUGAAAUGUCUCUUUGUUGUUUCAUGUUGCACACAUACGUAGAAAACUAACAAUUGCUUUGUCGCUCGCCAUCAGCUCGAGCGGAGUCCAUUAAAUUUUUUUCCUCAACCGCAAGCACACCUUUUACUUCUAAUCUACAGGCUUCUACCUUUCUUUUUUUAACCUCUAGACCAAUCAGGCAAACGAGUAAAAACAAACAUGGAUGCUGAUCUUCCAGUGUAGCUAAAAAUAAUGUGUUUCUGAGACGUUACGUGACACAACAUCGCACAAACAACUCCAAUUCAAACAACCUCCUCCUUAUCUAUACCAAUCUACAUUUAAUCCGAGAAUGAUAAAUCUAGUCUAGAGAAAAAGCUAGGGUACACCGUUAGCUAGUAAUCGCAGUGUCUGGUUAAGAGUGUUGUCAAGGUUACAGUGUGAAAGCAGAUGAAAUGAACUGCAGUGUUGUAUCUCCGCUUUAGCACUCAUGCUGUGCGUCAUUGUGUAUUAUCAUCAUCAUUAUUAUUAUUAUUAUUAUUAUUAUUAUAACAAGUAAGUCUUAUUGAUCCACAGUACAUUCAAAACCCUGCAUCUUUUCCCCUAACUCUUUAUGCAACUGAACUCUCCGAUUUAAAUUCUGUCUUAUGAUUUUGUGGGUAAAGUGAAUAAUAAAAUUGUAGCGUUGUUACUUCGUUAAGGCGUAACCAUUCACCCUCAUGUCAGAUUUGUGUCAAUAAAGCGAUAUGACUAGCUGUAGCUGUGGCUGUACGUGUGGAUGUAAAGAAACUUUUUCACACUUUAUUAUCAUGGUAUUAUCACACCGCAUUAAAAUCAACACCAUGUUUAAAGCUGGACUGCAUGAUUUCUGUUUGUUUAUGUAACACCACCAUGUUUCAGGUUUUAAUAAUAAAUACAAUGAACACUCUUGUCUCUGUGCACAAUAUAACUGUCUUGUGUAAAUGGCAAAUGCUCUGCACUUAUAUAGCGCCUUUUGACCUUAGCGGUUCUACAAAGCGCUUUACACUGUUUCUCAUUCACCCAUUCUCACACACACACUCGGAGCUACUAUGCAAGGUGCUAGCCUGCCAUCGGGAGCAACUUGGGGUUCAAUGUCUUGCCCAAGGUCACUUUGGCAUGCGGUGUCAUGUGGGACGGGGAUCGAACCACCAACCCUGCGAUAAGUGGACAACCUGCACUACCACCUGAGCCACAGCCACCCGUCUUGUGUGUUUGUUGGAGUAUUGUGGAUUCUGAUUGGUCUAAAAGUUUAUGCAUAUUAAUGCAUUCAUUUUUUUUAUGUUUUCUAUAAAUAGAUAUUUCAAAAAAUAAUUUAUGGGAGGAGUCCUCAGUGUCAGAGGUAACUUUAGGUUUCCGACGUUUUCAGGACAGAUGAGUUUACGCUUUUUGUGGUUUCUUGGUUUCUGUGGGGUUUUUUUGUCUUAGAGAGUAAAAGUUUGGUGAAGGAACGACGUAUAUCGUAAGUGAGAACAGGAAGUAGUCUGUUUCAGAAACAUAAUGUGGCUAUAAUCAGAUAAAAGAUAUGACGUGCCAUUCUUUAAUAAGUUGUUUGUUCUUUAAUAAAUUACAAUUUGUAAUUCAUUGAUCAAUAUACUGAGAACUGCCUCAACAUCUCCAUUCAACUGCUGCGCCAUCCACAGAAAAUCCAGGCCAUCGACGGAGGCCCUAUCAGGGAGCAUGCAGCUCCUCCCCCUGUAGUUUGGUGCCCUCCAUCAAGAAUUCAUCACAUUCUUUGUUACAGUAUCUGCCAAACAUCCAGUAAUCAUGAGCAUCCCAUGACUGGAACAGCAUAACCCUCUCAUUUCCUGGUCCAACAGGCAACUCACUCACUGUCUCAGAACCCCAGUAAUUUCUCUGGCUGCCUCAACCAUCAAGAGCCUCUACAACCAUUUUCCUGCAAUAUGCCUACUGAGUCUCAAGACCUGAGGGAGAUGUUCAGUAAAGUUAAAGCCAAUGGGUUACCACAUUGUCCAUACGAUUGUGCCACGAGCUGCUGCCUGGAACAAUUCCCCCUCAAAGCUGGAUUUAUCCUGUGUCAGUGGCUGAACAACAACCUAUGAAGGAUUACAUCAGGGAGGUGCUCCAACAAGGAUAUAUCAGGCCAUUCAUUUCUCCUGCAUCUGCUGGCUUCUUUUUUGUGGAGAAGAAAGGGGGUGGUCUCCGACCAUGUAUAGAUUACCGGGUUCUCAAUCACUGCUCAGUCAUAAACUGUCAUACUGGUAUCUUCUGCCAUUAGUUCCCACGGCCCUGGAACAGCACAGAUUAACCCAAAUUUUUUCAAGCUGGAUCUUCGUAGUGCUCGCAACCUGGUGCAUAUUAGAGAGGAUAAUGAGAGGAAGAUGGCUUUUAGCACUGGCCACUACAAGUACCUUUUAACACUGUAUCGGCUCUCUAGCUCCCCCUCUGUGUUCCAGUGUUUUAUUAAUUAAUUCUUGAGGGCCAUGUUGGGGAAAUGUGUCAUCACAUACAUUGACGACAUCUUGAUUUAUACCCCUUCCCUAAACUUGGCUUGCUACCAAGGACCUGAGCAACCCCACACCUGUAAAAAGCUCAGUCCCAGGUACAUUGGUCAGUUCAAGAUUGACUAACCUAGUAGCUCCGUCCUUUC
ensembl:lncRNA